GAUGAAGAACGCAGCGAAAUGCGAUACGUAGUGUGAAUUGCAGAAUUCAGUGAAUCAUCGAAUCUUUGAACGCACAUUGCACCUCUCGGGAUUCCGGGAGGUAUGCCUGUUCGCGCGUCAUUUGUACCCUCAAGCUCUGCUUGGUGUUGGGUGUUUGUUCCGCCUCUGUGUGUGAACUCGCCUCAAAACAAUUGGCAGCCGGCGUACUUGUUUCGGAGCGCAGCACAUUUUGCGAUCCAGAUCAACGUACAGCGGCAUCCAAGAAGCCUUAUUUAACGCUCUUGACCUCGGAUCAGGUAGGGAUACCCGCUGAACUUAAGCAUAUCAAUAAGCGGAGGA
rnacentral:misc_RNA from 1 species